UCACAGCCAGAUCCACCUGCUUUUCACCCUACCCUCGGUGGGGUCAUGGUAUUUAUUUCCUAUAAAUCGGGACCUUGCUGAACAUAAUUCUGCAGACAAGGAGGUGGAUGGGACAGCCAAUGUGAACAAGGAGAUAGAUGGUGGGUGGAGCAGGAUUGUCGUCGCUGUUUUUUUCCUCCUUAAUCCUCAUCCACAAAAAGAAGACA
rnacentral:lncRNA from 1 species